ACCACGAAGCACACACAUACAAUAAUACUCUCUCUCUCUCUCUCGCCACACGUAAUUGUUCUUUUUAUCUUACAACACAACACGGCACACGACACCAUCAAGGCAUUUCUCUCUCUCUCUCUCUCGGGAAAGCGAGGCACAAUUUCAGCUCAUUCUUCUCCUCACUCAGCCGCUUGCUUCAUCUUCUUCUUCUAUUCUUUUCCCAAUUCUUCUAUCUUUGCUUCUCAUGCUUCUUUCUCCGCGCUGCGGAUUCAUAAUUUUGACCUCAAGAAUAAAAGCUAUUUGUAUAUGUGGCCAAGAAGAUGAAGCACAUGCUGAAGUUGUUCGAGCCUUUCUUGUGUUCAUUGCCUUCAGAUGGAGUGGUGAAUGUCUAGCUUCUUCAUUACAGGAAUUCCAACCAUGAAGUGGAUGGUUCAUUCAUUUCACAAAUUUAUUGCUGUAGAAGAUAUUAUCUAAUAUUUCUGCCACGGAACUUUUCCUUGUCUUUCAUGGAACCUUGAGCACUCUCUUCACCUAUGAAAUGAUAGCUGGAGAUCUUUAAAGAAGAUAAACUGAACUGAUAGAACAGACAACGAUUUUCAGCUCAGCUCAGUUGAACUGAGAGAACAGGAAAUACCCCCAACCACGAGGUCCACAGAGAAACACAGCACCUGCUGCAACUUUGCGUUCAAAAGAUGCCAAAUCCUACGUAAGUUCAACUAUUUAAACCCUAUCCACGGCCCUUGCAAAAGGCCAAAUUCCAACCCAAAGAUAAUAAUAACUCCCACCGAAAUAACUACUUAAUUAUGAAAAAGGGUCAAUUGGACCCUCACUUGGAGGGAGCUUUAAUAUUGUUGUCUUAAAUUCCCAAACUUUCAAAAUAGGGUCAAUUGGACCCUCACUUGGAGAGAGCUUAGCCCUCCAACCAACAACUCUAGUGUCCAUCCAAAAAAAGAUAUUGCCGUCUAGCAUGUUAAAACCAUAUAAAAAAGAAUUUUUGAAUGGAAACAAGAUUUUUGAUCAGAAAUCUGAUCCUAAAAUCCUAAAUCCCAGAUGAUUCUUCACACAAGGAGAAAGAACCUUUUUAGUUGUUAGGCUAAGCAAGGCUCACGAAAGGAGUCCACAAACCAAGACCCAUAACUAUUAGAUCCUAAUGAAUCCUUAAAUAAAUUAACCUAAUCAAUACUUAAAUAAAAUAAAUUUUAUGCCCAACAAAUACUCCCUUCGUCCCAUUUAUAUAGGUUUGUUUUUUUUUGUUCAGAUGUCCCAAAUAUUUAGGCUUGUUUCCAUAAAAGGUAAUGUUUUUUGAUUCAUUUACUAAUAUGUCCUCAUUUAAUUCUUUAAUUUACUCUUUAAUUCAUCAUUAAAUAAUAAAUAUGGGCAUAUUGGGAAGUUUAGUUGUAUAUUUUUAUUUUCACUUAUUUUUCUUAAUCGUUGUGUAAAUUGCAACCGGCCUAUAUAAAUGGGACGGAGGGAGUAUGUAUACUUAAUAUCCAUACAAUUUACAUCAGCUAUAUAACCAAUCACAAUCAUUUUCUUUUAACCUUCUGGUCAACUAGGUAUAAUGUUUCAAACCUUCUGAUCAACUAGGUACAAGAGAAGUCUAUAGUUGGCAUUGCAUCUUGUCCCGGUAUAAAGAGUAACUGUCAUAAUGCAAUCUAAGUACGGAUUGAUGGAUUUGUGGUCAUGACAAAUUUAUGUAGUUAAAGUUUAUGGAUAAGAGGAUCAUGAAACUGUGAGGAUACUAGAAGUCAAUUCAUUCAUAUCCGUAAGCCAGUUUAACAAUCCGAGCUAUUUUAGUAAUAUCAGAAUCAGCUGGUUAAAAGAAGAUUGAACCACUGGAAGAAACUCUGCUUCAAAGCUUAUCCAAGGCUGAAGUUUUGAUUAGAAGAACAUAAAGCAAUUAAGUUUUGUAGUUACUCCUGAUUGAUUAAAAAGUGUAAAUAUUUUAGCUUUAGAUGUAUAUUAUACCCCCUCAGUCCACAAAAAAUAGUCCUAGAAGUGGACGACACGACACGAGUUUUAAUAAAAAUAGUUGAGUGUAUUGUGAGUGGAGAAAGGGUCCCACUUUCUCACUUAGAAAGUGAUGUUAAUAAUGAUAAUUAAUUGUAUUGUGAGCGGAGAAAGAUGCCCACCAUGUGAUAGAAAGUUUUGAAAAAUGAAAAGAGACUACUUUUUGUGGACGGCCCAAAAUGGCAAAAAUGUACUAUUUUUUGUGGACGGAGGGAGUAUGUUUUUGGUAGAUAUGUUAUCAAUCUGUGUAUGACAUUGUAAUUAAAAAGCUCUUAGGAUUCAUGCAAAAAUCUCAACUUCUUAAUAUACCAUUGAUGAUUGUCAAACUUAAUACUCCCCCUAUCCAACAAAAGUAUGGACACUUUGCCAUUUUCAUCCGUUUCACAAAAAUAUGCACUUUCUAUUUUGGACUCUUAUCCCUUAUUUUUAAACCUCAACAUCUCAACUUAUGUACAACAAAUACCAACUGUGGGCCCCUCUUCACUCACACCACAUUCAACUAAUAUUUUUAAAACUCGUGCUGGACACUUUUGUGGGACAUGGGGAAGUAUUACUUCUUUCUCUCCCUUAUCACAUGAUUUUAUCUUCCCUUUUCAUUAGGCUAUUUACACUUUUAAGGUCUAGGAGAUUACUGCUCUUCAUUAGGCUAAAUGAGUUGGACAUGGACACUGGACAUUUGAUCGUGAAGAUUACCUUGACUUCAGAAGUUGAAUUUGCCAAUUGGUGAGGAUCCUCUUUUGCUUUGUCGUACCUUUCAAUCACCGACUUCAUGCUGUACAAAAUUUGCAUAAAUGUCAGAUCUUAUAAGUUAUAAUGGUGUUCCAUGAAUAUGUAAGGAAUUUCUUUAGUAGUAAGUUAUGCAUUUAUCGUUUUGUUUGCCA